AAUCAACAAAAAAUAUUCAGAUUAUCAGAUCAAAGAUUCGAGUCACUUUAGACUCGUUACUUUUAGACCAAUCAUGUGACUCCAAAUGGCGUUCGUCGUGCGAGGAAAAGUCAGCGUGGUCAUGCUAUCAUACGUUUGACCUCAGUUGAACAGCUCCGGGUAAACAAGUCAUCGCAAAUGUCCCCUCCCUCAGUUCCAAACAGCUUGCAUCCCAUCAGCGCGCAUGUUUUGCCAGGACAGAUGACAGGAAAACAGUCUCAGCUCAUGUUCAUAAUAAGGUAGGUGUAAGAGGACUUUGCCGUUGACUUUUCCUUGUGGUCCUUCUUAUACUUCAUGCGACGGUUUUGGAACCAGAUUUUAAUCUGCCGGUCGGUGAGCUUCAGCAGCUCAGCCAUUUCAAGUCUCCGGUUGCGGCACAGCCUCACUUGUGGAUUUCCAGAGGCCCAUGACUGAAGGUCGCAGCUCUAGUUUUUGAUCAGCGGAGGACCAGCGGAAAUUAUUAACAUGCUACUUCAUAAUAACAUAUCACAUAACAUUACAUAAAAAUCUGUUUUUCUGUAUUGUUUAAAUGUCGUAACAUAUGACAAUAAAUGGAAUUUUAAAAA
rnacentral:lncRNA from 1 species